rnacentral:misc_RNA from 1 species
AAAACUUUCCACAGAAGUGUAACCUGAGUACAUGAUCACCCUUCCAAUAAAACAAACACAGCUUCAACCACAGUGAAUGAUAUCGAAAAUCACAAAAUAUAGACGCCAUUUUACAAGAAUCUAUCAAAGAUGACAAAGACCAAGCUUAGACAACACAUUUCUUGAACCAAAAUUCUCAAGACAACUAUUAGAGUUGAUAGACAGAAAACAGAUGUAUGGUAUCCUUUUCCUAUGUGUUCUUCUUGUUAUCAGAAUGUGACAGGGUAUCGUCAACUGAUUGCAAUUGGCUUCGAAGAUUCUGAUUCUCUUCCAGGAUCCUAUCGUAUUCAAGCAGCAAUUUUUCAGAUUGACCCUUGAGAGAAUCAGAAUUUGCUCUCUGAGAUUGCACCUCCUUUUCUUUUGCCUCCGAUUCUGAUUCCAGCUGCUUCAUCCUGUUCCUCAAGGAGGAGAUUUCAUCCCUUAAGGUACUGGCCUCGCCGUUCUUGAUGUUGUCCAAUGUACGAUCCUGCUUCUUCACAGCCUCCAUGGUCUUCCUUAGUAAUCGAAGCUCCCUUAUGUAAUGGUGUAGCCUGUCAAUCAUCAGUCCGAGGAAUAGAGAGAAUCCCAUAAGAGCAGCUUCAAGAAUCUGAUGAGCAAGAAGGAUUUGAUCGGUAGGAUUCACAGAAUCAGCAGGCCGAGACUGCAAUUCCUUAAUAGAAUAAACAGUAUAAAUCAUGAUCACAAGAACAGUAGCUGCUACAGAUUUAACAAUCAACGGUCCACUGCCUCUUUUAACACGAUCAAGACUCAUAAUUAUCAGUUUCCUCAAAGGGGUUCUGAACAGAAACAUCAAAAUCAACCCCAUUUCCAAGAACACCACCAUGAACAAAAGCUGCACUUGAGGUAACAUUUUGAAUACACCACCAAAUCAACUGCUUUUUUUUUCUGUGAUUCAACAAUUUCACCAAAAGGGGCUCUUCUUAACUAGUUAAGAAGGAUUUUUGUACAAUAAAGUUUGAUUUUUGGUGAAAAGGGUGUUGAUUUUUUUCAGAAAAAACUGUGAAUACAGUGUACAGAUGGUGUUGAUUCUGUGUAUACACG